GUGAUGUGUUGCGUUUUUAACGGUUUCGAGUCUUGGUUUAGUCCGUGUUUUGAGUCAUCUAUCGUGUCAAAGUCCGUCUUUUGCGUCUUUUCGGUUGUGUCUUGAGUCCUUUGCAGGUUAUAGGUGCUCGAGCUGGAUUCGGAGCAUCUUGUGCAUGAUUGAGCCUAUUCGGAGCUAAAACAAUGGAGAAACGGUACAAGAGAUCACCAGGAGCUGGGGAUCGAUCGAUCCAAGGCGUGGAUCGAUCGAUCCCAAUUGUGACGAUGAAGCCAAAAGUUCCAGUAGCUCGAGAUCGAUCGAUCCCAGGAGGGGAUCGAUCGAUCCAGCAUCAUCCGUCCAAGAACAAUUGAUUCAGCAUAUCUGGAUCGAUCGAUCCACCCAUGGGAUCGAUCGAUCCGAGCCUCGACGUCCCGAGACGGUUUUCCUAAACCGGGUUUUGUCUUCUUUUUUUUGUACUUGGGUAUAAAAACC
rnacentral:lncRNA from 1 species